AUGGCGUGGAUCCUCCUGACACGUACUGUUCUUCCUCUCUCUCCUUUUCUUUUCCCCAUUCUUCCUCGCGACCGCGGCUGGCCUAAGCCGGGAUGGCUCGACCACGGUGGGGCGGCGGCAGCGGCGCAUCGCCGGGGUUCACCACCGACGGCCACCUCCGUCUGCCAGCUCACCCCGUCCCCGCCUCUCCUCCCCGCCGUCCUCGCUUCCUGCAACGGCCGGCGCGGGCCGUUGGGGCGCAGCCGGAGGUGUCGUGCUCCCGCCGUGGCUGCGAUCCUGCCCCGCCCUCGCGCCUGGCUAUAUGCUACAUACACGCCCACCGCGCUGCUGGCGGCAGUAGGAGGCGGCGUGCCCGGCGCGACGCACUCCACGACGGCGGCGUGUCUACCCCCACGCUCCCGCUUGGCUAUACGCCGCGUACGUGCCCACCGCGCCCCGCGCGGUGCACCCCACGGCGCCAGUGGUGGACCUUGCCGGUGGGUGAGGCUGAGGCAGCCGACGUGCGCGGUGCUGGAGGGGAGGGCAGCGAGGAGGCUGGAGAGGGAGUGCUCACGGAACGGCGACGACACACGACGGCUCAGCCGUGGCGGAGCUCGGCAGCUCGGCGGUGGCGCAACGAGAAAAAGAUGAACCGAGAAAGAGGAAGAAGAAGAAUAGAGAAAGAGAGAUUGACAAGUGGGACCAUGGGCAAACUUAUCUUUAACCAAAGUUUCUCUCUUCAUUUUGACCGUAAAUAAUAAAAUAAUGGGAGGAGUGUCUAGUAGCUAAUUACCACUUUUUUUAGUGUCCACGAGCAAAUACACGAUCUUCGAGUGUCCCACAAUAAAGGUCGCAAUCUUUCGGUGUCCUGUAGCAAAUUUUGCUUAAAGAUUUUGAUACAAAUUAGCCCACAAUCAUAAAUUACCAAAUUGCCCUUGAUUUAUCGUUGUCCUCUGAAUGCUUGAGAAAAACAAUGAAUUGUUUACUUGCACUCAAUUCAAAUGGGUGGACCAGAAUAAUUCUUUAGAAGUACUAAUGACCUUGAAAAACUAACAUGACAAACUUUUUGGGACAUCUUAUAAAUUGCAAAACAACCAUCUUUAUAUGACUGAGAAAGUACUACAAUUUAUCAUAAACUUGAUAAAAUAUAAACAAAUUCAAUUAAGAAAAAAAAUCAAAAUGACUAAUAAUAAUAUAAGACGAAGGAGUACUCUAGAACGUUUCCGUCGUUGUUUGCUCCGCCACGAGGGCGCGCUACACUCCCGAUGUCACGUGCGCUGCCCUCUCGAUAGCACGAGACGAGGUCGCGUUGGCGUGAUACGAUACGAUCACAUUCACUACACACGAGUUAAAAGAAAAGAAAAAAAAAAAACACCUCCGCCUCUGCCGUCCCGUGCCGCCCCAGCCCAAAGCUGCCCGCGAGGCCGCGUCGUCGUCGUCUCUAUCCACAUCCCGCGCCACGCCCCAGGACGAGCGGAAAAAAAGAUUUCGCCCCCAUCCGCCGGGCACUCGCGCCUCGCGAGCCGCGUCCACCUCCGCGCGGGCGCCACGCCACGCCACGCCCACCCAAACAGCUUCGCUCGCCUUCCUCCUCUCGGCCCUCGCCGCGUCCACCCCCCCCCGAUCGAGCCGCCCUCCCCCUCCGCCUCCCGCCUCCGCGCGCGUUUAGGAGGGGGUCGGGAGGCCCGAAGCUGGGCCGGCGUCUCCGCCCCGCAGGGUCCGGGAAGGAGAGAUAGGGAGAAGGGUCCUCGGCUCCUCGCGCCGCGUGCUUUGGACUGGGAGUAGCUGGUGCUAGAAGUAAUUUUUGGAAAUGGU